rnacentral:rRNA from 1 species
UGGUGUUGUGAAAUGUCUGGUUGAUUCCGUUAACGAACGAGACCUUAACCUACUAAAUAGUUACGCGAACUGUCUGAUAUGGGGUGAAGCGGCGAGCGCGCCGUGCCUACGGGCGCUGCCGAUCGCUGUGAAUCCUCUGAUUGGUUCGUGGCUACACUUCUUAGAGGGACUAAUCGUUUCAAGCGAUUGGAAGUUUGAGGCCAAAACA